rnacentral:rRNA from 1 species
GUUCGGUUGAUCCCGCCGAAUGGAGUCACGCCGGGGUUCCGGUUGAUCCCGCCGGAAUGAGUCAACGCCGGGGUUCCGGUUGAUCCUGCCGGAAUUGGAUUCAACGCCGGGAUUCCGGUUGAUCCUGCCGGAAUAGGAGUCAACGCCGGGGUCCGGUUGAUCCCGCCGGAACGGUACGCCCAAAUUGGAGUCAACGCCGGGGUUCCGGUUGAUCCCGCCGGAAUUGGAUUCAACGCCGGAGUUCCGGUUGAUCCCGCCGGAAUUGGAGUCAACCGCCGGAUUUCCGGUUGAUCCUGCCGGAAUUGGUUCCGGUUGAUCCUGCCGGACCUGACUGCUAUCGGAUUGGUACUAAGCCAUGCGAGUCGUUGUAGCAAUACAAGGCGGACUGCUCAGUAACACGUAGUUAACUUAACCUAUGGAUGGGCAUAACCUCGGGAAACUGAGAAUAAUACCCAAUGGACCACAGUGCCUGGAAUGGCCUGUGGUUGAAAUGAUUUAUCGCCGUAGGAUAGGACUGCGGCCUAUCAGCUUGUUGGUGAGGUAAUGGCCCACCAAGGCUAUAACAGGUACGGGCUCUGAGAGGAGGGGCCCGGAGAUGG